AUUCUCAACGUUGGCAUUGUUGACCUUUUAGGCUGGAUAAUCUGCUGUUAGGCAGAUAGCGCUUCUGUUUAUUAUAGAUAUUUAGCAGCCCCGCUGUAGCCACCGCCCACUUCCAGUUCUGAUAAUCAAGAACAUCUCUAGACAUUGCCAAAGGUCACCAGGAGGGAAGAGAUUGUCCUGAUUGAGGAUCAGCGAACUAACGUGUGUAUCAUGCCUUCUUUACUAGACUAUAAAGACUCUGAGGAGAGACUCAGUCUGAUUCAUUGUUCUACCACCCCUCCUCCACCAACUAAAUUUAGUUUUUGACACAGAAAUUCUUCUUGGUGAAUGUUCAGAAAAGAGGCAAACUAUCUAUGGAGUUCCUCUAUUGUCAUUAGCUCUGCACAAGGCACCUGGUAAACCCAGAAGAUACAUAAGGUAACUGGGCUGCAUUGUCUCCACAGGUUUUUAUAACUGGAAUAAUCAUGUACUGUAGAUCCACUUCGGUGUGAAACGGCUGCAUCUGCAUAAGGUUUUCCCGUGGUGGAAGCAUGCCCCAUAGAAUGCUGUUACAGAUGCAACGGGAAUCAUUUUGGCCACUGCUGUCUGUAAUGAAUUGCUCCAAGAGGAAUGGGUGUUUCAGAUAUAUCAUUCUGUUACAGGUACAGAAAUUGUUUCCAGGAAACACUGCCAUCAUUAUCUCUGAAAGGCAAGU
rnacentral:lncRNA from 1 species